rnacentral:lncRNA from 1 species
UAAUUUGAACUUGGGCUGAGGCUUCAAUCUUCGAGGUUCCUUGUUUGGUGAGAACGGCUACUUUGAAGAGCAGGAGAUGCGACAUCUCUGAAAAGGUAAUCACCGAAAAGGAAUAGCCUCUGCAGAGAAAGGACGAUCCUGAGAUCUCUGCAUUUAAUGCGGCUGUACUUCUGGAGUGCGUGGCUUCCUUUGAACGUUGGAGGUUCAGUCC